AGUGAACGCUGGCGGUAGGCCUAACACAUGCAAGUCGAACGGCAGCACAGUAAGAGCUUGCUCUUACGGGUGGCGAGUGGCGGACGGGUGAGGAAUACAUCGGAAUCUACUUUUUCGUGGGGGAUAACGUAGGGAAACUUACGCUAAUACCGCAUACGACCUACGGGUGAAAGCAGGGGAUCUUCGGACCUUGCGCGAUUGAAUGAGCCGAUGUCGGAUUAGCUAGUUGGCGGGGUAAAGGCCCACCAAGGCGACGAUCCGUAGCUGGUCUGAGAGGAUGAUCAGCCACACUGGAACUGAGACACGGUCCAGACUCCUACGGGAGGCAGCAGUGGGGAAUAUUGGACAAUGGGCGCAAGACUGAUCCAGCCAUACCGCGUGGGUGAAGAAGGCCUUCGGGUUGUAAAGCCCUUUUGUUGGGAAAGAAAAGCAGCAGGUUAAUACCCCGCUGUUCUGACGGUACCCAAAGAAUAAGCACCGGCUAACUUCGUG
rnacentral:rRNA from 1 species